GUCCUGAUGGUGUAGUGGAUUUCACACCCGACUAGUAUGCGGGGGGACGUGGGUUCAAAUCCCACUCAGGGCG
rnacentral:tRNA from 1 species